rnacentral:rRNA from 1 species
GACGAACCGUACGAACGUUAUUCGGAAUCACUGGGCUUAAAGGGUGCGUAGGCUGCGCAGCAAGUUGGGUGUGAAAUCCCUCGGCUUAACCGAGGAACUGCGCCCAAAACUGCUGUGCUCGAGGGAGAUAGAGGUGAGCGGAACUUAGGGUGGAGCGGUGAAAUGCGUUGAUAUCCUAAGGAACACCGGUGGCGAAAGCGGCUCACUGGAUCUCUUCUGACGCUGAGGCGCGAAAGCGUGGGGAGCAAACAGG